UACGAAGGGGGCAAGCGUUGUUCGGAAUUACUGGGCGUAAAGGGCGCGUAGGCGGCUUAUCAAGUCAGGCGUGAAAUUCCCGGGCUCAACCUGGGGGCUGCGCUUGAUACUGAUUGGCUUGAAUGCGGGAGAGGAUAGUGGAAUUCCCAGUGUAGAGGUGAAAUUCGUAGAUAUCAGGAGGAAUACCGGUGGCGAAAGCGACUCUCUGGACGGCAACUGACGCUGAGGCACGAAAGCGUGGGGAGCAAACAGG
rnacentral:rRNA from 1 species